ensembl:snRNA U6 U6 spliceosomal RNA
GUGCUCGCUUUGGUGACAUAUAAACUAAAAUUGGAACGAUACAGAGAAGAUUAGCAUGGCUGCUGCACAAGGAUGACAAACAAAUUCGUGAAGCAUUCCAUAUUUUU